rnacentral:rRNA from 1 species
UACGGGGGGGGCUAGCGUUGUUCGGAAUUACUGGGCGUAAAGCGCGCGCAGGUGGGUGCGUAAGUCGGAGGUGAAAGCGCAGGGCUCAACCCUGCGACGCCCUUCGAGACUGCGUGUCUAGGGACCGGUAGAGGUGAGUGGAAUUCCCGGUGUAGCGGUGGAAUGCGUAGAUAUCGGGAAGAACACCGGAGGCGAAGGCGGCUCACUGGGCCGGAUCCGACACUGAGGCGCGAAAGCGUGGGGAGCAAACAGG